AUUGAACGCUGGCGGCAGGCCUAACACAUGCAAGUCGAGCGAGCGGCGGACGGGUGAGUAAUGUAUGGGGACUGCCCGUUAGAGGGGGAUCACUACUGGAAACGGUAUCUAAUACCGCAUACUAUCGGAUAACCCAUAUGGGAUUAGCUAGUGGGUGAGGUAAUGGCGCACCUAGGCGACGAUCCCUAGCUGGUCUGAGAGGAUGAUCAGCCACACUGGGACUGAGACACGGCCCAGACUCCUACGGAGGCAGCAGUGGGGAAUAUUGCGCAAUGGGCGAAAGCCUGAUGCAGCCAUGCCGCGUGUGUGAAGAAGGCCCUAGGGUCGUAAAGUACUUUCAGUCGAGAGGCGUUAACGAAAGAAGAAGCACCGGCUAACUACGUGCCAGCAGCCGCGGUAAUUC
rnacentral:rRNA from 1 species